rnacentral:rRNA from 1 species
GACGAACGCUGGCGGCGUGCCUAAUACAUGCAAGUAGAACGCUGAAGAGAGGAGCUUACUCUUCUUGGAUGAGUUGCGAACGGGUGAGUAACGCGUAGGUAACCUGCCUUGUAGCGGGGGAUAACUAUUGGAAACGAUAGCUAAUACCGCAUAACAAUGGAUGACACAUGUCAUUUAUUUGAAAGGGGCAAUUGCUCCACUACAAGAUGGACCUGCGUUGUAUUAGCUAGUAGGUGAGGUAAUGGCUCACCUAGGCGACGAUACAUAGCCGACCUGAGAGGGUGAUAGGCCACACUGGGACUGAGACACGGCCCAGACCCCUACGGGAGGCAGCAGUAGGGAAUCUUCGGCAAUGGGGGCAACCCUGAACGAGCAACGCCGCGUGAGGGAAGAAGGGUUUCGGAUCGUAAAGCUCGGUUGUAAGUCAAGAACGGGUGUGAGAGUGGAAAGUUCACACUGUGACGGUAGCUUACCAGAAAGGGACGGCUAACUACGUG